rnacentral:rRNA from 1 species
ACACAUGCAAGUCGAACGGGAUCUGCGUGGCCUUUGUGGUUGUGUGGUGAGAGUGGCGAACGGGUGAGUAACACGUGAGUAACCUGCCUUUUUCUUUGGGAUAACGCUCAGAAAUGGGUGCUAAUACUGGAUGUUCUGCGCUUUCCGCAUGGGGGGUGUGGGAAAGGGGCCUUUGUGGUUUCUGGAGGGAGAUGGGCUCGCGGCUUAUCAGCUUGUUGGUGGGGUGAUGGCUUACCAAGGCUUUGACGGGUAGCCGGCCUGAGAGGGUGGGCGGUCACAUUGGGACUGAGAUACGGCCCAGACUCCUACGGGAGGCAGCAGUGGGGAAUUUUGCACAAUGGGGGGAACCUUGAUGCAGCGACGCCGCGUGAGGGAUGGAGGCCUUCGGGUUGUGAACCUCUUUCGCUCGUGUGCAAGCCGCUAUUUGGGUAGUGGUGAGUGUAGCGGGUAAAGAAGCGCCGGCUAACUACGUGCCAGCAGCCGCGGUAAUACGUAGGGCGCGAGCGUUGUCCGGAUUUAUUGGGCGUAAAGGGCUUGUAGGCGGUUUGUCGCGCCUGUCGUGUAAUCCUCUGGCUUAACUGGGGGUGUGCGGUGGGUACGGGCAGGCUUGAGUGCSSUAGGGGAGAUUGGAAUUCCUGGUGUAGCGGUGGAAUGCGCAVAUAUCAGGAGGAACACCGGUGGCGAAGGCGGGUC